UGCUUAUUCAGACCAUUUUGUUUUUACUGUUUUUUCUGAGUAAUUAAUGUCUGUCUCAGUGCAAUCAAUAAAACAAGGAAACAGAACACCUGUUAUGAAUUCUUGCAAAUUAAAAUGUUUUAUUAUAUAAAUUAUAUACAAUAUUCAUGAUGUAUACGUAUAACAUAUCAAAUAAAAUCCUCAUAGCCCAGUCCAAGCUCUUUGUCCUGGCACACCAAUGGUGGAACCAGCUUCCCCCUGAAGCUAGGACAGCAGAGUCCCUGCCCAACUUCCGAAAACACCUGAAACUCCAUCUCCUCAAAAAUUCAGACAACUGUUAGCAGAUUGUCCGUUGGGCCAGGCGUGAAUAUUCUAGUAUUAUAAUAUUGUAUUCAUACUGGUUAGUUAGGGAGGCCUAUAUUAUAGGACCAUCAACAGGCAAUUAAUUAAAUAUGCUAAAUUUAAUUUGAGGGUUUUGUGUAUGCAGGAAAAGUAAUGUGUUCUUUUUACAGAAUAGUAAAAAUAAUAAACUGACAUUACAAUAUGCCUUG